GGGUAUUAUUACCUUUUAUUCUCUCAGCAGGAGCUGAAUGCAAUGUUCUCGAAGCCCCUGAAAGAGCUCCUAUCCAGAGAAAGCGAGGUGGAUGAUGCUGCUUUUAUAUCAAUAGAUAGCAAGGGAACUGAUAUUCGGGUCCGUCAGGGUGCACAAUUCAAUAUUCAGAGGAUAUCUUUUGAUGAAGGGCGGGGCAUUCAGUUGAAACAUUAGAGGAUGCUAAAGCUGGGAUUUCAAAGUUAAUUGGUAAAGCUUGGGCACAAAAUUCGCAGUAGUGGAGUUUUGGAGUCCAUAGUGAUAAUUGCUAUGUUUUGUUGGGGUCUCUUGGAUCCCCUCUCCUCUUGGCAGAUGACACCGAGGAGAGUCAACAGAGUGCUAGGGAUGUAACAUUAGGAUGAUGGAAGUAUCAGGGUGGUGUCCUGAAGAAAGUGCGUAGGAUGAUGAUGCUGCUGCUGCAUCAGAGGUAGGUAGGUAGUUAGAAGAUAAAUACAUUUAAAUUAGACUAUCCAUCCACCGUCUCUAAUUCGAGUCUUUGAAGUGGGCCCAUCCAUCACUGUUACAUAAUUGUCACAUCAUUUCAAGAUACAUUCAACAAAAA